AGUUUGAUUAUGGCUCAGAUUGAACGCUGGCGGGAUGCUUUACACAUGCAAGUCCGGCAGCAGCACGGACUUCGGUCUGGUGGCGAGUGGCGAACGGGUGAGUAAUGUAUCGGAACGUGCCUAGUAGCGAAGGGAUAACUACGCGAAAGCGUAGCUAUCCGCAUACGCCCUUCGAGGGAAAGCGGGGGACCUUCGGGCCUCGCGCACUAUUAGAGCGGCCGAUAUCGGAUUAGCUGGUUGGUGGGGUAACGGCUCACCAAGGCGACGAUCCGUAGCUGGUUUGAGGGGACGACCAGCCACACUGGGACUGAGACACGGCCCAGACUCCUACGGGAGGCAGCAGUGGGGAAUUUUGGACGUGGGGGAAACCUGAUCCAGCCAUCCACGCGGUAUUGCGAUGAAGGCCUUCGGGUUGUAAAGCGCACAGCAGGAAAAGAAACGGCGCAGGAUGUCACCCGUGCAGCUGACGGUACCUGCAGAAUAAGCGCAGCUAACUACGUGCCAGCGGCCGCGGUAAUACGUAAGGUGCAAGCGUUAAUCGGAAUUACUGGGCGUAAAGCGUCGCGAGCGGUUCGGAAGAAAGAUGUUGAAAUCCCAGAGCUUAACUUUGGAACUGCAUUUUUAACUACCGAGCUAGAAGUGUGUCAGAGGGAGGUGGAAUUCCGCGUCGCCAGCAGUGAAGUGCGUAGAUAUGCGGAAGACACCGAUGGCGAAAAACAGCCUCCUGAGAUAACACUGACGCUCAUGCACGAAAGCGUGGGGAGCAAACGGGAUUAGAUACCCUGGUAGUCCACGCCUAAACGAUGUCAACUAGCUGUUGGGGCCUUCGGGCCUUGGUAGCGCAACUAACGCGUGAAGUUGACCACCUGGGAAGUACAGUCGCAAGAUUAUUAAAACUCAAAGGAAUUGACAGGGACCCGCACAAGCGGUGGAUGAUGUGGAUUAAUUCGAUGCAACGCGAAAAACCUUACCUACCCUUGACAUGUCUGGAAUCCCGAAGAGAUUGGAGUGCUCGCAAAGAGAACCGGAACACAGGUGCUGCAUGGCUGUCGUAGCUCGUGUCGUGAGAUGUUGGGUUAAGUCCCGCAACAAACGCAACCAUGUCAUUAGAUUGCUACGAGCCUCUAAUGAGACUGCCGGUGACAAACCGGAGGAAGAGUGGGGAUGACGUCAGAAGUCUCAUGGCUUGCCCAUGGGCAGGACCCCACACGUCAUACAAUGGUCGGGACAGAGGGUCGCCAACCCGCGAGGGGCCGUCCCAGAAACCCGAUCGUAGUCGGAUCGCGGUCUGCCCAGCUCGACUGCGUGAAGUCGGGAGAGGAUCGCUAGUAAUCGUGGAUCAGCAUGUCAUAGCGGUGAAUACGUUCCCGGAGUCUUGUACACACCGCCCGUCACCUAAGCGGGGUGAUUUUACCAGAAGUAGUUAGCCUAACCGUAAGGAGGGCGAUUACCACGGUAGAAGUUCAUGACUGGGGUGAAGUCGUAACAGGUAACUCUGUUACUGCAAAUGCUCCCAG
rnacentral:rRNA from 1 species